CACCCAGCCUAGGAUUUUUUAUUGUCACGGAAGAAUGCAUAUGGCAUAAUGCGCUAAAGAUGUGAUGGCUGGAGCUGUGGCAGCCAAUUAGGACCAUGUGGAAGAAGGCACUGCUGGCAAUGACAGAGCAACAAAGUAUGUGAAGCCCAGGAUUCUGAUGAUCAUGGAGGUGAUGCGCUAGUUCUGGACUGUUGACCUGUGGACUUCAUAUGUGAAUUUGGAGUAGUGAGCUGGAGAAGCAGCUGGCUCUAGAUUUAUCCCCCAAGUGGUGGGAUAAAUGCCCGAGGAAGGAGACCCCAGCACGUUGAAAAAAAAAAAUCAUCGUAUUUGAUGAAAAGCAUUCAGAGGCUGGAUUGUAGUAGGGGUAGAGGUACAUAGAAGGAGAACGGUGCAGGAAAGAUAUUCUUUCCACUGCCAAUGAGAUGAUAAAGGACUAUUCAGCUUUUAAACCUCAGGGGCUGGUGAACAUUUGUUGGCUGAAGGUAGAAGGGUUUUAUCUACUCAAGGCACCUUUUUGGGAGAGGGGAUCAGAGAUGACUCACCCAAGUGAGGGAGGCAGCACCUAGCCCACAUCCUAGGCCAGAAUGUAGGGGAGAUGCAGCUGCAGGAGCCACCUGUGGGGGACUGCACCCAAAUAGCUGGAGGUCUGAGGCACUAGUGUGCUUAUAAGGGUAAUUCUCCAACUGUGUCCACACUUAACAGCUUAUAAACCCUGGGGUUCCAUAUCUCCUUUGAAUCUCACAGUGACCCUGAACAAGGCUUGUGAUCCUCCUUUUGCAGAUGGUGAAAGGCAAACACAAAGCAUUUUGGUUUUGCCCCUGAGUAGAAAAACAAAACACAGAAAAGCAUUUGGAAA
rnacentral:lncRNA from 1 species